rnacentral:rRNA from 1 species
UGAGGAAUAUUGCGCAAUGGGCGAAAGCCUGACGCAGCGACGCCGCGUGGAGGAUGAAGGUCUUCGGAUUGUAAACUUCUGUUAAGUGGGAAGAAAGGACUGUCUUUAAUAGAGGCAGUUAAUGACGGUACCAUUAAAGAAAGCACCGGCUAAACUCGUGCCAGCAGCCGCGGUAAUACGAGUGGUGCAAGCGUUAUUCGGAAUAAUUGGGCGUACAGGGUGUGUAGGCGGCAUGUUAAGUCUGUUGUUAAAGGCUCCGGCCUAACCGGAGAUAGGCAGCGGAAACUGGUGUGCUAGAGGGUGGAAGAGAGAAGUGGAAUUCUCGGUGUAGCGGUAAAAUGCGUAGAUAUCGAGAGGAACGCCGAUGGCGAAGGCAGCUUCUUGGUCCAUUCCUGACGCUGAUACACGAAAGCGUGGGGAGCAAACAGG